UUUUCUGUAUUUUAGGCUUGU
ensembl:piRNA 21ur-13856 ncRNA